GAAAGAGUGAAGGAGUUCCUUCAGUCCUGGCAAAGGUAUGGAGGGUUGCUGAAGUAUCUGCUGACUCAUUCGUACACACACAGUAGGGAUUAUUCAUAAGAGGUGUGUUUGGCUACUUGUGUGAAUGAAUGAAGCAGGAGAUAUUUUGCAUCCUGUCUCUUUUGCUUGGACUGAAGGGAAUCCCUUCAAUUCUUUC
rnacentral:pre_miRNA from 1 species